AGUGAACGCUGGCGGCGUGCCUAAUACAUGCAAGUCGAACGGAGUGGCGCGCGGGUGGGUAAUAUAUAGUUAGUCUGCCGUACACAGAGGAACAACAGUUGGAAACGACUGCUACUAACUCCUCGUGUAGGAUGAGACGAUAUCGUAUCAGCUAGUUGGUAAGGUAAUGGCUUACCAAGGCUAUGACGCGUAACUGGUCUGAUAGGAGGAUCAGUCGACUUGUACCUGAGGCACGGGCCAAACUCCUUCGGGAGGCGGCAGUAAGGAAUAGUGCCCAAUGCGGGAAACCCUGACGCAGCUACGCGGCGUGGAGGACGUCACUCUUAGGAGCGUAAACUCCGUUUAUUAGGAACGCGGUACCCGAUGAAGAAGCACCGGCUAACUCCGUGCCAGCAGCCGCGGUAAUAC
rnacentral:rRNA from 1 species